rnacentral:rRNA from 1 species
UCCUACGGGAGGCAGCAGUGGGGAAUAUUGGACAAUGGGGGCAACCCUGAUCCAGCCAUGCCGCGUGUGUGAAGAAGGCCCUCGGGUUGUAAAGCACUUUCAGCGAGGAAGAGCGCCUAGCGGUUAAUACCCGCUAGGAAAGACAUCACUCGCAGAAGAAGCACCGGCUAACUCCGUGCCAGCAGCCGCGGUAAUACGGAGGGUGCAAGCGUUAAUCGGAAUUACUGGGCGUAAAGCGCGCGUAGGUGGCUUGAUAAGCCGGUUGUGAAAGCCCCGGGCUCAACCUGGGAACGGCAUCCGGAACUGUCAAGCUAGAGUGCAGGAGAGGAAGGUAGAAUUCCCGGUGUAGCGGUGAAAUGCGUAGAGAUCGGGAGGAGUACCAGUGGCGAAGGCGGCCUUCUGGACUGACACUGACACUGAGGUGCGAAAGCGUGGGUAGCAAACAGGAUUAGAUACCCUGGUAGUCCACGCCGUAAACGAUGUCGACCAGCCGUUGGGUGCCUAGCGCACUUUGUGGCGAAGUUAACGCGAUAAGUCGACCGCCUGGGGAGUACGGCCGCAAGGUUAAAACUCAAAUGAAUUGACGG